rnacentral:rRNA from 1 species
CCCUUUGGGUGUGACUGCGUACCUUUUGUAUAAUGGGUCAGCGACUUAUAUUCUGUAGCAAGGUUAACCGAAUAGGGGAGCCGGAGGGAAACCGAGUCUUAACCGGGCGUUAAGUUGCAGGGUAUAGACCCGAAACCCGGUGAUCUAGCCAUGGGCAGGUUGAAGGUUGGGUAACACUAACUGGAGGACCGAACCGACUAAUGUUGAAAAAUUAGCGGAUGACCUGUGGCUGGGGGUGAAAGGCCAAUCAAACCGGGAGAUAGCUGGUUCUCCCCGAAAGCUAUUUAGGUAGCGCCUCGUGAAUUCAUCUCCGGGGGUAGAGCACUGUUUCGGCUAGGGGGCCAUCCCGGCUUACCAACCCGAUGCAAACUGCGAAUACCGGAGAAUGUUAUCACGGGAGACACACGGCGGGUGCUAACGUCCGUCGUGAAGAGGGAAACAACCCAGACCGCCAGCUAAGGUCCCAAAGUCAUGGUUAAGUGGGAAACGAUGUGGGAAGGCCCAGACAGCCAGGAUGUUGGCUUAGAAGCAGCCAUCAUUUAAAGAAAGCGUAAUAGCUCACUGGUCGAGUCGGCCUGCGCGGAAGAUGUAACGGGGCUAAACCAUGCACCGA